AGUGAACGCUGGCGGUAGGCCUAACACAUGCAAGUCGAACGGCAGCACAGUAAGAGCUUGCUCUUACGGGUGGCGAGUGGCGGACGGGUGAGGAAUACAUCGGAAUCUACUUUUUCGUGGGGGAUAACGUAGGGAAACUUACGCUAAUACCGCAUACGACCUACGGGUGAAAGCAGGGGAUCUUCGGACCUUGCGCGAUUGAAUGAGCCGAUGUCGGAUUAGCUAGUUGGCGGGGUAAAGGCCCACCAAGGCGACGAUCCGUAGCUGGUCUGAGAGGAUGAUCGGCCACACUGGAACUGAGACACGGUCCAGACUCCUACGGGAGGCAGCAGUGGGGAAUAUCGGACAAUGGGCGCAAGCCUGAUCCAGCCAUACCGCGUGGGUGAAGAAGGCCUUCGGGUUGUAAAGCCCUUUUGUUGGGAAAGAAAAGCAGCAGGUUAAUACCCCGCUGUUCUGACGGUACCCAAAGAAUAAGCACCGGCUAACUUCGUG
rnacentral:rRNA from 1 species